UGGGGUAUAUUGGACAAUGGGCGCAAGCCUGCUCCAGCCACGCCGCGAGAGUGAUGAAGUCCCUGGGGUUGUAAAGCUCUUUCACCGGUGAAGAUAAUGACGGUAAUCGGAGAAGAAGCCCCGGCUAACUUCGUGCCAGCAGCCGCGGUAAUACGAAGGGGGCUAGCGUUGUUCGGAUUUACUGGGCGUAAAGCGCACGUAGGCGGACUUUUAAGUCAGGGGUGAAAUCCCGGGGCUCAACCCCGGAACUGCCUUUGAUACUGGAAGUCUUGAGUAUGGUGGAGGUGAGUGGAAUUCCGAGUGUAGAGGUGAAAUUCGUAGAUAUUCGGAGGAACACCAGUGGCGAAGGCGGCUCACUGGACCAUUACUGACGCUGAGGUGCGAAAGCGUGGGGAGCAAACAGG
rnacentral:rRNA from 1 species